rnacentral:misc_RNA from 1 species
UCUCCGUAGGUGAACCUGCGGAGGGAUCAUUACAAGUGACCCCGGUCUUACCACCGGGAUGUUCAUAACCCUUUGUUGUCCGACUCUGUUGCCUCCGGGUCGACCCUGCCUUCGGGCGGGGGCUCCGGGUGGACACUUCAAACUCUUGCGUAACUUUGCAGUCUGAGUAAACUUAAUUAAUAAAUUAAAACUUUUAACAACGGAUCUCUUGGUUCUG